UUAAGUUGGUGCAAAAGUAAUUGUGGUUUUUGCCAUUGAAAAUAACGACAGAAACCGCCGUUACUUUUGCACCAACCAAAUAA
rnacentral:miRNA from 1 species